UGUAAGAAAUGUUCCAACAUU
rnacentral:piRNA from 1 species